CCCUGUCAUCACCUAGUUCCGCCACUGGGUGUAUAUAUCUGCAUUGUUAUUUUGAUCACAAACCAAACACACAUCCACCUCUAAGAUAUAAGAAGAGAAAAAAAAGAUAUGAUAGAUAUGAUAUCUACUACACUUUAAAAGAGACUCAAGAAAUCACUAUUCCUAAAAGAACUUUCAAUCUCAGCCGUCCAAUUGACUCUCUCUCCAUUUUCACUCUUUAAUCGUGGCCCUUCCUUUGUGAGACUUUUUUCGCCUCUAUUCUACUCGAGCGUAUGUGAUGAAGGAGAGGAGUGUUCUUGUUUCCCUGCUAAGCGUUCGUGAGUUAUCGUCAUGCCUGCUUGCCCUGUCCCUGUUGCGUGUUUAAGGUAUAAGGAAGGGGAUGAGGUCACUGAUCGUUGAAGGAGUUCUGGCUGAAGCUGAAGAGUGUGCCCGUCAUCUUCGUCAUUCUUGCAGAUCCCUUGUCCUGUUGCAGUUGUUAGGGGUAGGUGUACUUGUCGAAGGAAGGUUCGGUCUAAGCCUGGUUGAAGGAGGAAGUUGAAAUUUUAGGUUUUCCUGUUGACCAGGAUUUGGGGUAAAUUUCAUCACCCUGACCUAAGUUUCUGAUAAUAGAACUGUUGAUGAAGGUGUUUGAUUUGUUCAGAAUGUGUUGUCUGAAGGAGGAGAAUAGAUGUGUAUCAGAAGCCAUGUCAGGUUUGGUAUGCAUAGUUGUCAAGCAGGCCAACAAGCUCCUGCAGAUGAGUAUGGUAUCAAGUUCUUUGAGACUAGUGCAAAAACAAACGUGAAUGAGGAGGAGGUUUUAUUUUCAAUAGCAAGAAACAUCAAGCAGAGGCUUGCAGACACAGAUUCUAGAGCUGAGAUAAUUCUAAUGAAUUGGCUAAGAAUAAGGAUGAUGGAGAGGAUACAUUCAAGCUAUCCUAUUCUGAUGCUGAGUGAAGAAUUAAAGGAAAAGAACCUUCAGAAAAGUUUUGUUCCUUGAACAAACCUCAAAGAUGGAUGAGGUAUUAUGCUUGCAUUUGCAUUUGGGGCUGAGGUAUUAAUUUGUGGUGAGAAAAGAGGUGGGGGCGGUAGUUGUGGACUAAGGUGAUGGUUGUGGUAUGCAGGCAGAUGCUUAAGAAAGGGUGAAGGGUUCCUUAGUUGAGGGAGAAGGAGGUGUGGCGGCUGUGUGUUUUGGGUUAGGGAAGGGGAAGGUUGAGUCAGUGGUGGUGGCGGCACUAUUCAGGAGAGAACUUUUUUUGUUUUUGUUCCAAUUAUUUUUUGGCCCAACUUGUCCUAGCUGGUACAUCCUAUUAAUUUUUUUAGCCUAGCUUUUGGUUGGCCCAUGUCAUGUUAUAAUAGGUCAUCUUUUAUUUUUUUUAGUUUACCAUUUGUCCUUCCCAUCUGUCUGUCGUUUAACGGUGAGGAAGGAGAAGAGAGGAUGAUGGAAGAUGAUGGAAGGGAAUAGCAAGAGUGUGAGAAGAGAAGAUGAUGGAAGGGGAAGGACCAAGUGUACGGUUAGGGGAUGACUGAAAAUAUGACAUAUGCUGCUUCAUUCAAACAAGAAGGAGGAUAGAAGAAGGUUGAAGGAGAAGAGAAAAAUCCCACUGUUUGAUUAUCAGGUCUAUGUAGUAACCUUUUUGUCUUAACUUGUAUUGUUGCAAGGCUGAUAUGGGUGUUAUUCCUUUUAACCAACUUUGAAUUUAAAUCUAGCUAGCUACCAUAUGUCAAGUUAUAUCUAAUUGUUUGUAAAUGGAAUUAUAAAACCAACCAUUGGUUUGCAGUAUGAUAAUGUUUUUGUUUUGUUUGAUACAUGUGGUGCCAAGAAGGUUAUUAUCAAAGAUGUUGCUGCUCCGAAUUACACAUCUACAAAGCCAUGUAAAUAAGUUCCAAGUAAGUAUGUUUUAGUAAUCUUUGGUAUACUAUCCAAGUCUAAUCAGAAAUGUAAAUUCUCAUUGACCUAUUCAUCAAUGAGUUAUUUAGUUAAUCUUAUUUAAGAAUGUAUUUGACCACAUUAAAAAAAUUGAUUUUUUUCUCAUCCCGUGACAUUGAUAUGUUCAGUUCAUUUUUCAUACGCAUAAAGUAUGAUAAGUAGCUUGAUUUAGUGAUUGUCAUUUUGAAAGGUUGCAUACAACUUUCUUCCAAGUAAUUUAAUAAUGAAUUACUUUCAUGGUAAAAUGGCAGCUUUCAUCCUCACCGUAUAAGCAUGAUUAGUAACUUAAAUACAUGUUUUCUGUAGUUUUUAAACUUUAAUCCCUUUUGCAAUCAGGGGUAAAUAAUGAUAAGUAAGAAAUUAUGGUUUGGUUUUAUGCUGAACAUGAUUAGAUUUGUCAUGGAACUUCACUUCUUUUCCUCGGUUUCCAGGUUCUGUGACUACUUUGUAUUUUUUCUAUCCAAGAACUUACUUUUACAUAAAAGUUUGUGAUAGAGAAGUUUGUUAUUUCAAAUCAAGUGAUAUUAUUUUGGUCAGCUCAAAGGGUUGGAGGGUUUGUCUCAAGAAGAGCUAUUUCUAUGGCUACCUGUGAAGGAUAGAAUUGUAAAUGAUCCAUCAUUAGGUCUCAUUUUCAUUGAUAUUGGUCUUGCCUACAAACAACUCUCCCUGUCUCUCUUAGAAGUUCCCCCAAUUCGCAGAUCUAAAUGUAACUAUCUCUUUUGUGUUUGUGUAUUUAUAGCUGUUAUUUAUUGAUGAUAACUUCAAAUUUGAAUACAAAUCACUAUGUAAAAUUAUAUGCAUGCUAUUUUCAUCUCAUCCAUUAUUAUUUUUAGCAUAGUAAUUUAGAUCAGUUUCUUCUACUUAGAAUCAAUUAUGACAACUGAAGCUACUCACAUCAAUUUCUCCUCAUAAUUGAUUUUGUCUUUAAAAUCAACUAUUGAAGAAUUUUGAAACAUACAAUGAGACCGAAUGUAUUUCAAUUUUAAAGAUUUUGUUUUGUAUGUAGAAUUUUGGUCUAAAAGUAUAACAGAGCAUUUUCAUUCCUCAAUUUCUCCAAAUUCAAGGAAGUGUGUUUGUUCAUUUUAUUUAUGUGGGUGGUAUUAGGUUCAAUAUCAAGAUUCUUGACCUUAAUCUCAAAGAGAUUCAGUAUAGGUUGAGGACAUGUCAUGCUGCAACUGAUGUUGCAGGUCCAAGUAAUGUGAAUGAUAAUAUAUUGUUAGAGGAUGAAGGAGGUUAUAGUAUUGUUGAUUUAGUUAGUGAUAAUGAUUCUGUGGAAGAAGUUGAAGAUAUUGUGGGUUAUGAUCGGUUGAUGUGCACAUUUGAUACCAAUGUUGAUCUCAUAAGUGGCAGGGAACCUUUGGUUAGUUUUGUAUUUUUCCUUACUAUGUCAUGGUUUAAUAGUUAGUGUCAAUUGAAUUUCCAUACUUAAGGUUAUAAAUUCAAAUGAGCAGAUUAUCUCAGGUUGGGUUCAAAGAGAAUAUUUCAGUGAUAUAACUCCUAUAAUCAAUGUUCUUCUUCCAAAUGGAUAUUGGACCAAGUGGGAAAUUUGUUGGUACUCGCUUGGUGGGAGAAGCAAGGUAGCUGGUAUGAAGGGUGAAGUUUGUGGCCGCUGGUUUGAAUUCUACAAAGACACAUUUAAGAGACUCUGUUGCAGGACAUCGGAUGCAGUUAUGGAAAAUGGAGCAACCAAAUAGAUAUAGGGUUGUUGUAUUCACCCUUUAAUUUUGCAUUAAGAAAUUGUAACUUUUUUGGAUGUUUUAUAACUGUUAAUUAGACCUUCUUUUUAUUUUGCUACUCUGUUUAGUUACAUGUUUCCUUGAAUUUAUCUAAAAGUUGUACUUUGGCUGUAA